rnacentral:lncRNA from 1 species
CAGGCGUGCACCAUCACGCCCGGCUAAUUUUUGUGUUUUCAGUAGAGAUGGGGUUUCACCAUGUUGGUCAGGCUGGUCUCGAACUCCUGACCUUGUGAUCUGCCUGCCUUGGCCUCCCAAAGUGUUGGGAUUACAGGUGUAAGCCACUGAGCCUGGCCAUUAAGUCCCCAUUUCUUUGGGGUCAACUAUUAGAGCUUUAUUUUGUUGCUUUAAAGGUGUCAUAUUUCCUUGAUUCUUUGUAUAUAUAUAUUUUUGAAGACUUGCGCUGCUAUCUUCACAUUUGAAGAAGCGGUCACCUCCUUUAGUCUUACUUGUUUCUUAUUAAAAUUUUUUUAAUGUUUUUUUUUAAGAGAUGGGAUCUCACUAUGUUGCCCAGGGUGGUCUCAAACUCCUGGCCUCAAGUGAUCCUCCCACCUCAGCCUCCCAAAGUGCUGAGAUUACAGGUGUAAGCUACCAUGCCUGGCUGUCCCCCAGUCUUUGUUGACUGGCUUUGGGAGAGAAAGACCUUCAUCAGUCAUCCUAGCUAAGGAUUUGAGGGAUCGCUCAGAUCUUUUCUGUAGAUACACCCACUCUACUCCUGUUGCUCCCUCUUAGGGAGAGAAGUCUUAGGUUGUAAGCUCCUCUCAAUCCUCCAAAGCUGGGUCUACACUGAGCACCUCCCAUUUUCCCUAAUGCAGUGCUCUGAAGCAUUCAAGGUUGGGCACCUUCUCCCAGUCCAGCAGAGUCAAGCCGGCUGCUCAGAUUUGCAUCUGCCGUUGAGAUCUGUGUACUGUUUGGGAGGAGGGUGCAUGAGACACCAUAUGCUCAGGGGUACGUGGAGUGCUGGGGGCAUGGAUCAGUUGGUUGGGGGGCCCACAGGCAAGUUGUUCUGUGGGUUCAUGGGCGGGCCUCCUGGUGGAGUGUUAGCUGGUUAGUGGGAUCCAUGGCUGGCUGUUGGUUGCUAGGCAUGUCCUUCCCUUCUCCUAGCAGUCCCCAGGUGACUCAGCCAUGCUGAUUCCUCAGUGUUCUGGGGAGAGACACAGGUGGGCUAUUGGGCAGCAUCCUAUAAGGUUGGGGAAGCUGGUGCUCACUCAGCACUCAGUUUCCCCUGUGGGAGAAACCACAGGCCCAGGGGGGCCUCAUUGGAGGAGCACUAGCACAGGUAAACUGAACCUUCUUAGCCUCUUCGGUGUGCUCUCUUUGCCCUGUGGGGUGCUAGAACCUCUCAGUGUUUCUGUGGGGGCAUGAGGGCUGGAACCUCCUAUUCUGUCACCUUCCUGGCCUCUUCCUACAAUUAUUUUUAUGCUCAAAUUGCCCCCGAUUUGGACAGGGGGAGAGCCUUCAGGCUGCUCCUCCAGCCCUCUCACAUGUCCCCAACGUUGUUCAGCAUUUCCUUAUUUUCCAGCACUAGACAUUCUAAGGCUCACCCUGUACUCUCUCUGCUCUUCCCUGGAAAUAGUCAUUUCUCCAAAGAGUUCUGUUCCCUUGGAAUAGAGAAUGGUAUUUACAAACCAAGAAAUGGAUUUCAGGUGUGCCAGUUGUUUCUGGGGUGGCAUUGCUUCUAGGCCCCUUCGGUGGACAGAGCUGGGAAAGAAACUGUGUGUAUCAUAUAUAUCUGCACACGUAAGCUGUGUGUGUAUCAUAUAUAAUACAUCUGCACAUAUAAACUGUGUAUGUAUCAUAUAUAAUACAUCUGCACUUAUAAACUGUGUAUGUAUCAUAUAUUAAUACAUCUGCACAUAUAAACUAUCAUCUGUACAUAUAAACUGUAUAUCAUAUAUAUCUGCACAUAUAAACAGUAUCAUAUAAUACAUCUGCACAUGUAAACUGUAUCAUAUCUGCACAUAUAAACUAUCAUAUAUCUGCACAUAUAAACUGUAUCAUAUAUAAUACAUCUGCACAUAUAAACUGUAUCAUAAUACAUCUGCACAUAUAAACUGUCAUGUAUAUCUGCACAUAUAAACUGUAUCAUAUAUAUUUGCACAUAUAAACUGUGUGUAUCAUAUAAUACAUCUGCACAUAUAAACUAUCAUAUAUAAUACAUCUGCACAUAGAAACUGUGUAUCAUAUAUCUGCACAUAUAAGCUGUGUGUGUAUCAUAUAUAUCUGCACAUAUAAACUGUGUGUAUCAUAUAUAAUACAUCUGCACAUAUAAAUGUGUGUAUCAUAUAUAUCCACACAUAUAAACUGUGUGUGUAUCAUAUAUCUACACAUAUAAACUGUGUGUAUCAUAUAUAAUACAUCUGCACAUAUAAACUGUGUGUAUCAUAUAUAUCCGCACAUAUAAACUGUGUGUGUAUCAUAUAUAUCUGCACAUAUAAACUGUGUGUGUAUCAUAUAUAAUACAUCUGCACACAUGCUUCUCUGUAUUGAAAACCAAAUUGUCACGGACCACUCCCAUUCUCACGCAGCAUUUAGGGCUGUGGCUAGCCUUUCCCAGCUGUAAGAAACCUGUCUUUCAGCAUGAUAAACACAUUUACUUAUUUGCUCAGUCCUCUAAUAUGCAGAAAGUAGUUUUAGAAUUGCCAAAACCAUACAACUUGGAAAAACAAGCAUGAUUACUUCAAGAUGUGUUUGUAGCUCCUUCUGUCCUGGCAUUGGACGUGGAGAGAAAGCACAGACUGUUCCAAGUUUCAUUUUUCCCCUUCUCUGAAACGCAGAGAGCGUUGUUUGUUUCUGUUUGUAUUUCAUUUGGGUCCUCCCUCUAGCCUUAUUCAUAAAUUUGUAAAUGAUCUUUAACAAUCUGUUAUAUUUAUGAUGUUUUACUGCGUGCUGCCUGUGAAAAUGUUUCCUUCUUCUGACACGUUCCAGAACAACUAGGCUUUUAAAUUCCAAAUAUUCCUGUUUCACAAUAAACCAGAUGAGGGCCUCUGUUGUGCCACAGCUUUUGGAAUGUGGUUUAUUACCAAUAGAAGUGGCUGCGUGGCUUGUUAUGGUUUCAAUUACACGUGAGUAACAACCGGGGCCCUUCUGUGUCAGGUGCUGCUGAUCAAGGCUGGCUAAUGGGGACCUCGCUGUCCAGAACGGGCGUUUCCCAUGGCCCGGCCCAGCUGUUUACCACUUCUGUCUACCAUUUCAGAGGGGCUUUGCGGAGAUUAAAUGAGGUGAAGCGCUCUGAGAACCUCAGUCCUAAAGAAUAGCAGUUAUACUGGUUUUUGUAUUAUAUUUAUAUAUUCUUCUUGUUAAUAUACUGGUUUUAAUGUUCAUCGUUCUCUUGGGAUCCCAUGACAGUGAGCCUGGUGUACCUGAGGUCUGGGAUACUCACACCUCUCCCCAGUCCCAUGCUCCCCACUGUGGCAGUGCCUGUCAGGGACCCUGCUGACCCCAGGAAGCCUCGGUGUCCCCAGCGCUGGCUCUGCUCACACAGGCAGCAGGCUUAGUGUUCUCUGGCCUGGCUGCACUGACUGGACCAGGGACAGGGGAAGGGCCCCAAAGCACCCUGUUCCAGGCAGCCGGCCAGUCGUGGCCGAGGAGCUCCAUUCAACAGUGGCACCCAGAGGGGCCAGGGUCUCAUAAAGCUGGUCAGACGCCCCCUCUGGGUAGGGGUGUAGGAAGCGGCUGUGCAGCCGGGUCCCAGGUAGGGAGGCAUAGAGUGAAGGCUGUGAGCAGGAGCCCUGGGGCGGAGGGCCAGGAGAAGGCUGGGCACAGGUCCAUCGGUGGCAGCUGGGUGGGCAGAGCAGAGAGGCUGCAUCUGCACGACGGCAGGGCCCUGGUGUGGGAACAGCAGACGGGGCCCCUGGGUGCGGCGCCUCCUUCCCACAUCCCUGCUGCUCCUGCAUCUGCUGCUGGAGAAGACCACGACGUGCUCAGACCCCGGCACUGGAGAACUCCAGAUGUGGUGAGGGCUGCACGUUAGCUGCAUACGCACAUCUGGAAGGUGAGGCAGACGUGCCCACCGCCUCCAUGCCUGGCCCACAGUUGUGGGCAUGCAGAGCUCCUCUGUGGCAGGCCCAGGCUGCACCAGCUGCCUGGAGAGGCACUGGGGGCGGGGCCUCACUUGAGGGGCAGAUUCUCCCACCCAGCCAGUCCAGGCCCAGCGGCUGGAGCAUCCCGUCCAGCAAAUUGUCCUGCAAGUUGCCCUGGAGACCCAGCGUCUCUCAUCACGUCUCACUCCCCUGCCAGAUGCCUCUGCGGCAAUAACGAGAGUGGCUCUGCCUUCUGCACUGAAUGCCGACAGGUGACCAGAACAUGACACUGGGGUUAUGCAGUGCCCUGGUUGAUAUUCUAGUUCAUCAGGGAGCUUCUGGAAUGAUUUUUUUUUUCUUUUUUUUUUUUUUUUGAGACAGAGUCUCUCUCUGUCGCCCAGGCUGGAGUGCAAUGGAGCAAUCUUGGCUCACCACAACCUCUGCCUCCGGGGUUCAAGUGAUUCUCCUGUCUGAGCCUCCUGAGUAGCUGGGAUUACAGGUGUCCACCACUAUCACUCAGUUAAUUUUUAUAUUUUUAGUAGAGAUGGGGUUUCACCAUGUUGCCUGGGCUGGUCUCAAACUCCUGACCUCAGGUGAUCUGCCUCCUCAGCCUCCCAAAGUGCUGGGAUUACAGGCAUGAGCCACCUCACCCAGCCAACUUUCUUUUGCUUCACUUUUCCUCUGGUUGCCCCAUCUUUAUUGUCAAGUCCUGUUAAGAGGAACAACAUUAAAAUGAGAGCUUUCAUGGCAAAAAGGUUGCUGUGGGUUGAGCUUGCAAUGUUAGCUGCGUGUUAGGAUUCAGCUGACAUCUGUCUCUGGAGUCUCGCCCUUUCUGUAAUUCGCUUUUGACUGUAAUAAAUGUUGUACAGGCCAGGUGCAGUGACUCACACCUGUAAUCCCAGCACUUUGCAAGGCCAAGGCAGGUGGACCACGAGGUCAGGAGAUCGAGAUCAUCCUGGCUAACACGGUGAAACCCCGUCUCCACUGAAAAUACAGAAAAUUAGCUGGGUGUGGUGGCACCUGCCUGUGGUCCCAGCUAUU